CCUACGGGAGGCAGCAGUGGGGAAUAUUGCACAAUGGGGGCAACCCUGAUGCAGCGACGCCGCGUGAGUGAAGAAGUAAUUCGUUAUGUAAAGCUCUAUCAGCAGUGAGGAAAGUGACGGUACCUGAGUAAGAAGCCCCGGCUAACUCCGUGCCAGCAGCCGCGGUAAUACGUAGGGGGCAAGCGUUAUCCGGAAUUACUGGGGGUAAAGGGAGCGUAGACGGCUGUGCAAGUCUGGAGGGAAAGCCAGGGGCUCAACCCUCGGAUUGCUCUGGAAACUGUACGGCUGGAGUGCAGGAGAGGGGAGUGGAAUUCCAAGUGUAGAGGUGAAAUGCGUAGAUAUUAGGAGGAAUACCAGUGGCGAAGGCGGCUUACUGGAC
rnacentral:rRNA from 1 species